UGGUGUGUGAGGUGCAGGUGCACGGC
rnacentral:piRNA from 1 species